AGAGAUGUGUGAUGACGCAUAUCAAUAAGCGGAGGAAAAGAAACUAACUAGGAUUCCCUUAGUAACGGCGAGUGAAGCGGGAAGAGCUCAAAUUUGAAAUCUUCAAGGUUCUACCUUGACGAAUUGUAGUUUAUAGAAGUGUUUUCUGUUAGUAGAGUGGCAAAAGUUCUUUGGAAUAGGACAUCAUAGAGGGUGAGAAUCCCGUAUUUGUACCAUUCUUUCUAACUUUGUGAUACACUUUCAACGAGUCGGAUUGUUUGGGAAUGCAGUCCAAAAUGGGUGGUAAAUUUCAUCUAAAGCUAAAUAUUGGCGAGAGACCGAUAGCGAACAAGUACCGUGAGGGAAAGAUGAAAAGAACUUUGAAAAGAGAGUUAAACAGUACGUGAAAUUGUCAAAAGGGAAGCGUUUGACACCAGUGUUGUUUUUCCGAAAAUCAAUUACGAAUGUUUUAUUUUUGAGAAGUUAUGACUUCAUCGGCUUGCUUCUCUCUUUAUGAAACUUUCUUAAUGCACUUUUCGGUUAACAAGUCAACAUCAAUUUCUUUUGUUGUAAAAGGGUAUGAGGAAGGUGGCUUUCUUUUCGGGGAAAGUGUUUAUAGCCUUGUACCUCUGCAAUCGGAGAGAUUGAGGUCUGCAGCGUAGAUCCUUCGGGGUUAGAUACAUUUGUGCUAAGUUAUAGCUUUUCAUAGACAACUUGUUGACUAUGUUUAGUCUUGUAGCUUACUCGCUUAUGCUAUUUUACCUACGCUUAGGAUGUUGAAGAUGUAGCACAUCA
rnacentral:rRNA from 1 species